GAUGAACGCUGGCGGCGUGCCUAAUACAUGCAAGUCGAGCGAAGCGGGGACGGGUGAGUAACACGUGGCUAACCUCCUAUAAGACUGGGAUAACAUCGGGCAACCGGAGCUAAACCGGAAACUUAUAGAUGGAUCCGCGCUGCAUUAGCUAGUUUGUAAGGUAACGGCUUACCACUGCCACGAUGCAUAGCCGACCUGAGAGGGUGAUCGGCCACACCGGAACUGAGACACGGUCCAGGCUCCUACUGGAGGCAGCAGUAGGGAAUCUUCCGCAAUGGGCGAACGCCUGACAGAGCAACGCCGCGUGGUUGAUGAAGGUCUUCGGAUCGUAAAACUCUGUUAUUAGGGAAGCGGUACCUAAUCAAAAAGCCACGGCUAACUUCGUGCCAGCAGCCGCGGUAAUAC
rnacentral:rRNA from 1 species